GAUGAACGCUGGCGGCGUGCUUAACACAUGCAAGUCGAACGAACGGACGUGGAGCUUGCCUUCCUGAAGUUAGCGGCGGACGGGUGAGUAACACGUGGAUAACCCACCUAUUAGACUGGGGUAACUCCGGGAAACCGGAGUUCAUACCGGACGAAAUUUUUAAUCGCAUGGUUCAAAAGUGAAAGACGGUGUUGCUGACAUGUAUACAUGGAUUCGCGCUGCAUUAGCUAGUUGGUAAGGUAACGGCUUACCAAGGCGACGAUGCGUAGCCGACCUGAGAGGGUGAACGGCCACACUGGAACUGAGACACGGUCCAGACUCCUACGGGAGGCAGCAGUGGGGAAUCUUCCGCAAUGGGCGAAAGCCUGACGGAGCAACGCCGCGUGAGUGAUGACGGCCUUCGGGUCGUAAAGCUCUGUUAUUAGGGAAGAACAUAUGUGUUAGUAACUGUGCGCAGCUUGACGGUACCUAGACAAGAAGGCACGGCUAACUACGUG
rnacentral:rRNA from 1 species